GGGUCGAUGCCCGAGUGGUUAAUGGGGACGGAACYGUWAAUUCGUUGGCAUAUAKGCCUACGCCUGGUUCAAAUCCAGCUCGGCCCA
rnacentral:tRNA from 1 species